GGGGUUGUGGCUCAGUGGUAGAGCGCUUGCCUCAAAUGUGUGAGGCACUGGGUUCAAUUCUCAGCACCUCA
rfam:Ictidomys tridecemlineatus contig044686, whole genome shotgun sequence.